UACAGGGGGAGCAAGCGUUGUUCGGAUUUACUGGGCGUAAAGGGCGCGUAGGCGGUCAGCACAAGUCAGUUGUGAAAUCUCCGGGCUUAACCCGGAGCGGUCAAGUGAUACUGUCGUGCUAGAGUGCGGAAGGGGCAAUCGGAAUUCUUGGUGUAGCGGUGAAAUGCGUAGAUAUCAAGAGGAACACCUGAGGUGAAGACGGGUUGCUGGGCCAACACUGACGCUGAGGCGCGAAAGCCAGGGGAGCAAACGGG
rnacentral:rRNA from 1 species